rnacentral:rRNA from 1 species
CAUGUAGGCGGUAUUGCAAGCCUGGUGUGAAAGGCGGGGCUCAACCCCUGGACUGCGCUGGGAACUGCAUUACUAGAGUCGCUGAGGGGCAAUCAGAAUUCCAGGUGUAGGGGUGAAAUCUGUAGAUAUCUGGAAGAAUACCAAUGGCGAAGGCAGGUUGCCAGCAGAUGACUGACGCUGAGGUGCGAAGGUGCGGGGAGCAAACA